UUGAAAGGGAAACGAUUGAAGUCAGUCGUACCGACGGAGGAUCAACCUUUGAAAGCGGGUCGAGGUAUUCGAGGAGUUUAAAAGCCCUCUUGCGCUCACGUACUUCGUUUUCUUUGGUGCACUUCUUCGUAUGGUAGGUUAACAUCAAUUUUGGACGUUACAAAAUGAUCGGGGGAAUGUAGCUUCGAUUUUUUCGAAGUGUUAUAGACCUUGGUAGAUGUGACGACCGGGAUUGAGGAUUGCAACGAAUGCUUUCGGGCUAUCCGUCUGACCUCUGGUGGUUGCUUUGGGGUCGAAAGCGUGCUUACGGCUUUAAAGUUGGCUAUCAAAAGGCUAGAACGUGAUUAAAUUCGUUAAGGAUGUUGACGUA
rnacentral:rRNA from 1 species